GUUGGUAGUGACACUGCUUACACGUGAAACGGGAGUAAAGCAUUGAACUUAGAGGAGAGAAACGAACUAAAGUAUCGAUCAUAUACCACUACCAACGUUUGGAUCGAUAUCUGCAUCGAUCUGCCCACCCUUGUCUCCUGGAUCGUAGCUGAGAUCAGCGUGAACCACGUGGGUCUCUGCUCCCUGAUCUGUUUGCUGUGUUUGGAAAGAGUUCCAGCUUCAUCACGGAGUUUCUCUCGGUUUGUGGGCUCAUCUAAAGCUGAUCAGCAGGAGGAGUAGAGUCUGACGGAGCAACAGGUGAACAUUUUCAGCUGUUUGGACUCAGCUCAACUGCUACAGUGGAAAUAAAUGUCAUCAGCACAAAAGGACCAACAUGGAGCGAGAAGUCAGCGCUCUAAGAAGGCCGACAAACCUCACAGAAGAAAGGAAGAGAAAAAAUACAGCUGUGAUGAGUGUGGAAAGUCUUUUACCCUUGCUCAAACCUUAAAACAACAUCAACUCAUCCACAGCGGAGUUAAAAAAUACAGCUGUGACUUCUGCGGACAGGCUUUUCACCGUCCUGAAAGCUUAAAAAGACACCAACUCAUACACAGUGGAGUUAAAGCAUACAGCUGUGAGUUGUGUGGAAAGUCUUUUACACAGAGUGCAUACUUAAAAACACACCAACUCAUCCACAGUGGAGUUAAAGCAUAUAGCUGUGAGUUGUGUGGAAAGUCUUUUACCCUUGCUCAAACCUUAAAACAACAUCAACUCAUCCACAGCGGAGUUAAAGGGUACAGCUGUGAGUUGUGUGGAAAGUCUUUUAACCGGGCUGGAAGCUUAAAAACACACCAACUCACCCACAGCGGAGUUAAAGCGUACAGCUGUGAGUUGUGUGGAAAGUCUUUUACCCAUGCUGAAAGCUUAAAAACACACCAACUCAUCCACAGUGGAGUUAAAGCAUACAGCUGUGAGUUGUGUGGACAGUCUUUUACCCAGGCUGGAAGCUUAAAAGCACACCAACAUGUUCACAGUGGAGUUAAGCCGUAUAGUUGUGAUGAAUGUGGAAAGUCUUUUACCCAGGUUGGAAGCUUAAAAAGACACCAACUGAUCCACAGUGCAGUUAAAGCGUACAGCUGUGACUUCUGCGGACAGGCUUUUCACCGUCCUGAAAGCUUAAAAAGACACCAACUCAUACACAGUGGAGUUAAAAAGUACAGCUGUGAGUUGUGUGGAAAGUCUUUUACUUUAUAUCAAAAUUUCAAAAGACACCAACUCAUCCACAGUGGAGUCAAAGAAUACAGCUGUGAGUUGUGUGGAAAGACUUUUACCCAUGCUGGAAGCUUAAAAACACACCAACUCAUCCACAGUGGAGUUAAAGCGUACAGCUGUGAAUUGUGUGGGAAGACUUUCACCCAGGCUGGAAGCUUAAAAACACACCAACUCAUCCACAGUGCAGUUAAAGCGUACAGCUGUGAUCAGUGUGAUAAAGCUUUUACUCAAAGUAUCCACUUACAGCGUCAUCAAGUGACCCACUCCGGAUUUAAGGCGUACAGCUGUCACAUUUGUGGAAAAACUUUCCGCUGGCUAGUUAGCCGAGACAUUCACCUACGCAUUCACACAAAAAAGGAUGUUUGCUGCUGUGAUCAGUGUGGAAAAAUUUUUGUGAGAUACAAAAACUUAGAGAAGCACAUGUUUACCCACACUGGGAAGAGACCUUAUAAAUGUGAACUGUGUGAGAAGACUUUUAAAUCUCCACUUAACCUCAAAUCACACCAAAAGAUUCACACUAGAGAGAAACUCUACAAGUGCAGUUACUGUGAGAAGCAGAGCGACACAGAUGGAUCCAGUUCUCAACCCUGUCGUCACUGUGGUGGUGGGAAAGAGUUACUGUGUGACCUUUGUGGAAAGACGUUCAAUCAGCAAGAGAGCCUAAAACGACAUCAUUGUAGACACACUGGAGACAAAAUGAACUACUGCAAACAAUGUGGGAGAGGCUUCACCACACCAAGUGAAUUAAGACAACAUGAACUCUGUCACAGUGAGGUUAAAAAGCAAGUCUGUGACCAGUGUGGGUCAUCCUUCAUCACUGCAGAUCAUCUUGAAGUGCAUAAACGAUCCCACGCUGUAAAUAAACAGUUUCACUGUUACCAAUGUGCAAAAACAUUCACUUCAUUAUCUGCUCUGUGCAAACAUCAGCGUGAUCAUGCAGAACUGAAAUCACUGGAUCAUAAUGAAUCUGAAGAGACAGAAAGAUCCUCUUCUGGUUUUAGGAUCAGACUUAAAAACCUUGAGAUCAAGCUCCACAGAGUUCAGAUGGAGUCCACUGUAAAGAGUGUCAGCUGAUGUCACACUUGGAUCUGAUUUCUCGACUUUCUGGGAUUUAGAAAGUUCGAAAGAUAUUGAUAAGAUCAUUAAGUUUUUUUUUUUCCUUUAGGGAAUUUUACAAUGAUAUAGUAGUCAUUUCUCCAAGGUGGCGCCUGUGUGUGUGGCUUAACUUUAUUUAAAUAUAUUUGCGUAUAUAUUUUGCAAAGUACGAGACUUAGAAUCAAAGUCCGAGUCACAAAGUCUCAAAAUCCCCCCCCAAAAAACCCAUGUCUCCCCUCCAUCCCCCAAAAACCCUAGACAAGUUAACAGGAUAAACUCCUGAAAAUAAUCCCUCUGGCUUUGUGUAAGCUCCCAGCACUCCUAACCCCGAUAGGGACUCCCCUCUAUCCCCCAAACCUUGUGUGUGAUAACAGGGAAACCCAUGAAAAACCUUAGGACCCCUCUUCUCACAUCCAGUGCACAGCCUAAAUUGUCCGUCUUACUCGCCCCGUCUCAGCUCCCGAAUGAUUCUUGCCUAUUUUCGAAACUUUGCGCCCGAGACCAACUCCACCUCCGAGGUGUGCCUAACUUUGCCGGCUGCCAAUCACAUAUCAAAUAGGCGGCUCCCACGGCACCCCGGAUAGCCAAUUGGCUACCGGUCCGAUUUACCUUAAUAAUAAUAAUAAUAAUAAUGGAUUGGAUUUAUAUAGCGCUUUUCAAGGCACCCAAAGCGCUUUACAAUACCACUAUUCAUUCACUCUCACAUUCAUACACUGGUGGAGGCAAGCUACAGUUGUAGCCACAGCUGCCCUGGGGCAGACUGACAGAAGCAAGGCUGCCAUAUCGCGCCAUCGGCCCCUCUGGCCAACACCAGUAGGCGGUAGGGCAAAGUGUCUUGCCCAAGGACACAACGACCAGGACAGAGAGCCCAGGGAUCGAACCAGCGACCUUCCGGUUACAGACCACCUUCUCUGGCAUAGGUUCAAAGGCCGGCUCUCACUCAGGAUAAAUAAUCUAACAUUUAGGCUUAAAUUUAACUCUUCUUUUGUUUUUUUUCCUCCCAAAAAAGAAAAAAAAAGACCUUUCUUUCUUUUCUUAAACAACAUGGAUGCCAUACCUGCCAACCUGACCCUGCUCUCCCAGACCCCUGUAACCAGCUACAGAGGUUCCGCGACGCCAGCGCAAGUCACACGAAUGCAUCUUUGCAGGUUUCAGCCAGCACCCGCUAAACCCUUGGAAGAGCAAUUCCGUCUCAGCUCCGGCACAUUUUGAGGCUACGCCUGCAGCCUCAGAGAGAGCGAGCUCUAUUUCUACCAACUAAAAGCCGGUGAAGGUUUUUGCUCUCUAACACCUCAGAUUGCCUUUACAUUGUCUGACUGGGCUGUUUUGAGCCUCAUUGCGACACCCGAAGUGCAGAAGAGCCUGUGGGAGACGAGCUGGAACCGCAGUCGCAAUCGCGAAUCAGGGAUCAAUACUCGCAGACGUAUCCGUCCUUCAAACAGGCCCACACGUAUCCGCCCUUCAAACAAGAGCAGCAACGGCCUUUAAACUUGGCAGGCUUUAAAUGGCAGCAAUAUUGAUGCAGACACUAAUGUUGCAAUUAUAAAUUACCCUUUAAAUACCAUUUUCUCACAAUGUGACGUGACACUGGGUGACAGGUUGAUUUCUCAAGCCAGCGCAACUCAUCCAUAUAGGGCCAUAAUCGACACAUAAUUAAAUUACUCAGAAGAAAGUCUGAAAACUCAACUUAGCGCAGGUCUUUUUUACAAAGAUACUGCUGGCGCCCAUGACUCUCAUGUUGUUAAUAACGGCCCUAGCAGAGGAAUAGUCAGGAGAGCUGUGUAUAGCAAACUUUCAUGAGUUUCAUGUUAUGGGCCCAUUGCACUCUGACAUUUUUUCUGUGAUAGAUUAUUGCUCAAUGUGGAUUUGAGGGUUAAGCUCACGAGAGCCAAUGACGCUUUUAGUCUUAUGGCGCCUCAAAAUGCCAAUUACUGUCUGAAUAGUCUAGGCACAUCCAUGUUUGUGAGAACAUUGUGCGCGUAGGUCACGCAUCCGCUCUCAUGCAUGCCAAUGCAUUAUAUCUGAUCUCACGGAUUAAUGUAAAAACAUUUUCAAUACCCGAGAAUUCUCGGAUAUCACAUCAUGAGAACCUGUUUCUGGGUUCACUGCCCAGAUAUUUUGUCAUAGGCAUGGUUAACCACGAAGCUUUUACAGAGCGAUAUGAUUUAUGCCCUUUCAGUUUCCAGUAUAACAAUUUAGAGUUUUUGGCUUUGUGUCAUGAGAGUAAACAAAUACCAGCCAAAGCUUUUCAACCCAAUUUUGUUGAGAAUUAGUCCGUCAGAGAGUUUUACAGCUUGUACACAGCUACCGGGAGAAACCUGAAAGAUCUAUCCUUGAGCAUUGACAGACAGGAAUUUCAAGAAGGAUAUACUCUGAAGGACUCAUAUUGAAAACAAACAGAUGACAGCUAAGCGUUAUCACGAUAAUAAAUAGCAACUUGAGACUUGAAAUGCGCUUCAGAGUCCCGCUGCCUCACACAACAACGCUGAUCGUUUAUGCUUGUUACUUAUGAUGAUGUACUUGCUUUAUGUAGCUCUAAUCAAAAGAAAAAUGAUACCAUGGUGUCGUGUUUUGUAAAACGAUUUAUCAGAUGUGUAUUAACAUGUAAAGCUAGCAAUUUUAAUUAAACUUCGUAUUCUCUGAAAGCUUUUAAUGAUUGUCACUUGUGUUAAAAAAUUUUUUUAGUAAAGGUUUUUGGGAAAAAAAGUGUGUAAUGUGUUUUUGUUUUGUUCAAUAAAACA